AUGACCCAGCUGCGGGCACCGAGAGGCGUGGCUCCGAUGGGCAGGGCCCGGGACGAGGUGAGGAAGGGCGGCGAGGAACUCGGCGACGGGGACGGUCGGAACUACUGCUGGUGGCGCUCAGGGCCAUGGGACGCGGAAGCCGAGGUUGAAGGCGAGGCAUGGGGAAGGUUCGGGCGCGGCGUCGGCGAGAGGGUGGAGCAGCAGCUGUUGCUGCCGGCGACGAGGUACUUGGUGGCAACGAGAAGAAACAGGAGGAGAAGCGUGUGGGAGAAGAGGUGCUCCGAUGGGACAGCUUGCUAA
rnacentral:rRNA from 1 species